UGGCCUUGACAUUGAUAGAAUCUUUCAGAGAUGAGAGAGUGCCUCUUUGAGGAGCUUGAAAACAGGUGCUGCACGGCUGUCGUCAGCUCGUGUCGUGAGAUGUUGGGUUAAGUCCCGCAACGAGCGCAACCCUCGUCACUAGUUACUAACGGUUCGGCCGAGGACUCUAGUGAGACUGCCUUCGCAAGGAGGAGGAAGGUGAGGACGACGUCAAGUCAUCAUGGCCCUUACGGCCAGGGCAACACACGUGCUACAAUGGGCAGGACAAUGAGACGCGAUACCGCGAGGUGGAGCAAAUCUAUAAACCUGUUCUCAGUUCGGAUUGUAGUCUGCAACUCGACUACAUGAAGCUGGAAUCACUAGUAAUCGUAGAUCAGCUAUGCUACGGUGAAUACGUUCCCGGGUCU
rnacentral:rRNA from 1 species